GUUAUUAUUCACAGUCCCAAAACAGCCAUCCUAUCUCUUAUCUUUCUUCUCUCUUUCUUUUCCCAUCACAGGCUGCUGAAAUCAACAAAUCAGCAAGUUUCAGCCUUGGUUUGUCAGGAAAUAUUCCAGAUCUGGACCUGUGAAGCAGCUGAUCUGGUCCUUGAUUCCUAAUUUGGAAUCUGGGGCAAAGGGAUUGAUCGAGAAAGAUCUCUUGUUCUUGUUAUAAAAUCGUGAUUGGAUCCGCAUAUGUUUGGUAAAAAGAA